UGAUGGGCUACUGUUAAUAACGGGAAGCUGAACUAGCAAGGCUUUUGAUUUGAUCCAACAGGGUUAUUCUUACAUUUUCUUGGCCUGAAGGUACCGUAUUUUUCGCUCUAUAGGAUGCACUUUUUCCCCUUCAAAAAUGAAGGGGAAAUGUGUUUGCGUCCUAUGGAGCGAAGAGGCCAUAGCCCCAUGACCCUCUCCCGGCUGGAGAGGUGACGCGCGGCUAUGGCAGCAGCCUCUCCGCUGCGCCUUUCCGCUGCUCCCUGACCUGCUCUUUGGGGCUGGUGGUGGGCUUCCCCCCGCCAGCCCCAAAGAGCAGGUCGAGAGGAACCUGAAUGCACCUUAAAUGGCACCUUGUUUUAGAGCGGGAAAACAAGAGGGGGAAAAUUCUCCCUCUCUCUGUGCAGCGCCUCCUGCCGCUUCACUGAAGGGAAACUGGGCAGAGAGGGGGAGAUUUUUUUUUUUCUUGUUCUCCCCCCUCUAAAACAAGGUGCGUCCUAUUGUCCGGUGCAUCCUAUGGUGCGAAAAAUACGGUAAGUUGUGUGGAAGACUUCACCUAAUAAAUUUCUACAUGCCUGGAUAUUGUUAAUGAAGCGGGGCCAAAUUAAAAAAUCAAAUUCCAGUUAUCCUAUCCAAGACCUGCUAUCUGUCAGCUGAGUGCAAAGAGCUCUAAAAUACAAGAGUCUUAUUUGGCAACUGAGCUUAAUUCAGUUAAGUGAUGAUUUCACCUUGCAUGGUUUAAGGUUUUAACUAUGAUUGAUAUAGAACCUUCUAAAACAUAAGUAAUUAUGGAUGCCUGGCAGAAGGGGGGGGGCAUUUGAACUUCUUCACUUGCUUUGUGAAAGGCAGCUAUAAAUCCUUCAGUAUUUAAUUGCUGCAGUUUAUAUGGCAGCACCUUUUCUGCCCCUGUCUUCUCUGUCACGUCUUCCUUUACUUUUUACUCUGCCAAAGAUUUACUUUUCCCAAUAAUUAAAUUAAAUUAGAUAAAUUAAAGCCUAACUGAAGCUAAUUUUGCAUAAUAUCCCAAACCAUUUGUGUAAGACUUCUAAAAAAGAAAUCUUCCAGCUAUUUCUCUAGGCAGUAGGUUAGCUAAUUAUCUACCUCUCCAAGCAGCCUUUGAGCUAUCACGGAUCAUAUGCUUAGAAGGGGAGAAAAUUCAUUCGAUUGCAAAAUGAAUGUCCAUUACCAUCCUGAUGUAUCAUAAACAUUCUGCUUUCCUCCCACCGGGAAUAAACAAUUCUUCCUCUCUGGGAAAUGUUUGAUCACAUAACAUAAUAAGCAGAUUACAUAUUAUCAUUAUCCUCUGAAUAUCAUCAAGUCGGCAAUUUAUUCCUGAAACUUGUGGGAGAUGCAAAUUUGGCUGAAGUUUAGAACUCCAAAACUUUGAAGGUGAACCCCGACUGCUCAUGGCCUCCAAAUAUUUGCUGCUGUUUCAGAGUGUGUCUGUCCAUCCAGCACAUUAAUUCACCACACCAGAGGCGGAUUUAGAGGAGCCUGACCGAUUUGUUUACAUUGGAUGCAGAGUCUUGGGGCCACCGCUGAGGGCACUAUGGUUUAGAAUGGAGCAAGACAGGAGGAGGAGUGCUUAAUUUUGGCAUCACACAGGAUGCUGCCGAAAUUUGAGACCCCAAGAUUCGCCAAUAACCAAAGCAUAUUUCCAAGUUUUAUACUUUUCAUUGAGUUCCUCAGAAGUGAACUGUACAAUCCUAUGCCUGGGAAUUCAGAGGGCUUGCUCUCAGUCCUCAAUCCACCAUAUGGCAGCUCCAUAUUGCACAAAUAAUCCCAAACUGGGGAGGGAGAGGGGGAUGAAAAUGGAAAGCACAUGAUGGGAGGAGCAAUUGUCUUCUUAUCUCAUUCCCACCCCCCAAAGUCUAUGAACAGAUAAUUACUUCCACCAGG